rnacentral:rRNA from 1 species
AUUGAACGCUGGCGGCAGGCCUAACACAUGCAAGUCGAACGAGUGGCGGACGGGUGAGUAAUGUCUGGGAACCUGCCUGAUGGAGGGGGCUAACUACUGGAAACGGUAGCUAAUACCGCAUACCAUCAGAUGUGCCCAGAUGGGAUUAGCUAGUUGGUGGGGUAACGGCUCACCAAGGCGACGAUCCCUAGCUGGUCUGCGAGGCUGCCCAGCCACACGUGAAAUGAUACACGGUCCAGACUCCUACGGGAGGCAGCAGGGGGGAAUAUUGCGCAAUGGGCGCAAGCCUGAUGCAGCCAUGCCGCGUGUAUGAAGAAGGCCUUCGGGUUGUAAAGUACUUUCAGCGGGGAGGCGUUACCCGCAGAAGAAGCACCGGCUAACUCCGUGCCAGCAGCCGCGGUAAUAC